rnacentral:rRNA from 1 species
UACGGAGGGUGCAAGCGUUAUCCGGAUUUACUGGGUUUAAAGGGUGUGUAGGCGGACUUUUAAGUCAGCGGUGAAAUCUCCGGGCUCAACCCGGAAACUGCCAUUGAUACUAUUAGUCUUGAAUGUUGUUGAGGUGGGCGGAACGGGUCAUGUAGCGGUGAAAUGCAUAGAUAUGACCCGGAACACCGAUUGCGAAGGCAGCCCACUAAGCAACUAUUGACGCUGAGGCACGAAAGCGUGGGGAUCAAACAGG